rnacentral:rRNA from 1 species
CCUACGGGUGGCUGCAGCUAAGAAUAUUCCGCAAUGGACGAAAGUCUGACGGAGCGACGCCGCGUGGAUGAUGAAGGCCGAAAGGUUGUAAAGUCCUUUUGCUGGGGAAGAAUAACCAUGGGAGGGAAUGCCCGUGGGAUGACAUGAACCGGCGAAUAAGCCCCGGCUAACUACGUGCCAGCAGCCGCGGUAACACGUAGGGGGCGAGCGGUGUUCGGAAUUAAUGGGGGCGAAGGGCUUGUAGGCGGGUGAAAGUCACCGGCUCAACCGGUGGAUUGCGUUGGGAACUGCUGGGCUUGAAUCAUGGAGAGGGAGCUAGAAUUCCAGGUGUAGGGGUGAAAUCUGUAGAGAUCUGGAAGAAUACCAGUGGCGAAGGCGAGCUCCUGGCCAAUGAUUGACGCUGAGGUGCGAAAGUGUGGGGAUCAAACAGGAUUAGAUACCCCUGUAGUC